AUUGAACGCUGGCGGCAUGCCUUACACAUGCAAGUCGAACGGCAGCACGGGAGCAAUCCUGGUGGCGAGUGGCGAACGGGUGAGUAAUAUAUCGGAACGUGCCCAGUCGUGGGGGAUAACGCAGCGAAAGCUGUGCUAAUACCGCAUACGAUCUCUGGAUGAAAGCGGGGGACUCGCAAGAGCCUCGCGCGAUUGGAGCGGCCGAUAUCAGAUUAGCUAGUUGGCGGGGUAAAAGCCCACCAAGGCGACGAUCUGUAGCUGGUCUGAGAGGACGACCAGCCACACUGGAACUGAGACACGGUCCAGACUCCUACGGGAGGCAG
rnacentral:rRNA from 1 species